GAUUGGAUCUCCUUGCCGGAUCUCCUUGCACCACCCAUACGUGAUAAAAUGGAUGAGGGGGAGGGAAAAAAGGCUCUAGUUGCUCAGUACACUACUUCACGCAUGGACCUCUUUUUUCUCUCUCUCAGCCACGUCCAGAACUCUCGAUAAUCCCUCCACCUCCCCAUUAAUUUCUCUUACCUCACCCCACACGUGGCCCUCACCUCUCUCUCUCUCUCUUCUCCCCAGAUCUGAAUCACGCCAUUCUCAAUCUCUCGCUCCUGUACUCACUUCCUCCACCGCACCACGCCGAUCCUCCUCUCACAUGAGUCGCACCAGCGCCAUCGAUUUGGAGCACCGGCUGCUCUCUACCUCCAGAUCUGGUGAGGCCACCUGACGAUGAGGAAAAUGACUCGGGCCCCUAUCCUCUUCUGCGAGCAACGAAGACAGUGGUGAGCCCCAUGCCUCGACUGAGGAGACGACGACAACGAAGACAGGGGCUGCAGGCGCCCUGCACGCAGCGACAACGGCGACGGCUGGCAUGACAGCGACUGCGACGGACUACAUCACCCUCCAAGAGAAGGAGCUCGCUCGGCAGCAGCCUCCAUUGGCAGUUGUUCAUCCUCUCAUUGAUUGGAUCCAGUCUUCUGAGAAUUAGUAUUCAAUCUGCUGCAGAUCUUUUGAGAAACACAAAAGAGGAUCUGAUGUAAUACAAAAGGAGCAUGAUCCAUUUUAUUCCAGAGGUACGUUCAUGUGUUAUCAGUUGGGGUCCAGCUUUCAUUCUGACGACAACUUCUCCAUCUCCCCAACAACAAACAGUAUUUCUUGUGGAUAAGUGGCGGAGGGCGGAGGCCACGGUACACAUGAUGUUCUUGGUCACCGACCAUCCUCUAGGUGUUGACCUGAAGUAAUUGUUUUUUGUAUCUAUCCUACAUGAUUUCUGCAAGCGGUUUCCUUUUGCCAUUUUUUGUGACCUGUGGAAGUGAUGAAUGUUAUAUCUACCGAGCAGUAGCAUCGAUGGCCAAGGGUGCAGCGCAAAGAUGACAGCGGCCGAUGGCGGUCUGACCUCCUGUAAUCAAGCACAUGUCGUGACGCAAACUUGAACGUGUUCACAUAGCCACCGCUGAUGCAUAUACAUGAAUGCUUUAUCAUGUACUGUAUGAAUGGAACGACUAUAGCAGGUUUCUUUGCACUUUUGCAAACAAGCCAUUUUUGUUACCAGUGAUCAAACAUGUACAUACUUCUUAUUACGUGUAUACGUAUACUCUUUUUUGGUGAAUAAAUUCUUAUGCGAGCUUA